rnacentral:lncRNA from 1 species
UCCCAUUCCCCAGUCUCUCCAUUGUUCACUCAUACCCAACUCCGUCCCCAUCUCCGGCGACAUGUCCGCUUCGUCUACAUCCUCUCUCCCCGUCCCGGCGGACUGGCUGCUACCCCUGAUGGCAUAUCCACUCUGCGGCGACGAGGUAGUGACAGACGUCGCAAGGAGUGGGAAUCAGGUUGGGCAUCGUUUCUACAAAUGCAUCCGUUAUGAUGUAAGUAUUUUUUGAUCCGAUCUUGUCAGGUUUUUCAUAUUGAAUCAAGAUUUCACACACAUCUCACCGGACUGACAUAGAAGAGUUUUCACACACAUCGUUUCGAUGGACGCAUGUUGUCCAAGUGUGGCUACGUCAGACGCAUUUACAUGCCACGAAGAAAUGCUUGAUCAAGGGAAAAAACAAAGGCCUCAACAUCCAGACGACGCUGCUAGUCCCAGUCAGCAUCAGCCAAAAAAAACUGCUCAAAUAAAGUUGUUUCGCUCAAACAUAUUCAGUAACCAUGAUCAUGGAUACAAAACGCAACUCAACAGGAUGCAACCACUGUAAAUCUAUUUUUAGCUUUCGAAAUGCCAAGGCCUCCCAUAUAAAAUUAUGUAUGAUUCAAAUACAGAGACUGCAGGAAUAUAUUUUUUAGGAAUCAAAUAGUGCAGAAACAACAAUAAACAUGGUAACAAUACUAAAGUUUACGUGUUGAUAUCAUCUCAAAAAGCAGUUCAUAAAUUCAGACUAGCUACCAAAUUUUUCAGAAAACCAUAAAUCCUUUUGCGUGCUCUAGGACACAACUCUAGAUCGUUACAGACAUGGACAGUACAUCUCAGACUAGCUAUCAAAUUGUUCUCACAACAUCCCACAAUUUUUUCUGCUUGCCCAAGGAACGCAAGACCAUGAUAUCUCAUAUAGGAACAACAUACAAAUCCUGAUCCGGGACGGACUGCAAAUCAGGCCUCAUGAAAAAGACAAAUACAUAUUCAUCGACCAAAAAUUGCACAGCUCAGCUCUCGGCAAACCCAAGAGGCCUCUUGCAUGUGUUCCGCCAGUGUCCUUCUAUUCCGCAGUUCUUGCAUCUGCCUGGUUUCCGCGGCUUCUUCGGAGCAUCCCCUCGCUCUGGACAUGUGGUCCUCUUGUGCCCCUCGCGGCGGCAAAUGCUGCAGAACCUGGUUCUUUUACUCAGCCCUUCGUACGGUGCCUUCUCCCUGCUGCUUGUCGGCCUGCCAGUUCCUCUACACUUUUCUGGUGCUGCGAGGCACUGAAGUUCAUUCAUGCCGACAGAAUUCGCAGCACUGUUGCAUUGGUCAGCCUCCUGAUCAACCAAAGCAGGAUCCCCGUUGCAAGUUGCACUGGCAUUUCCAUUUUCAAUGAGACGAUCCUCGAAUGCCAAUCCAUCCCGCGCGACCGCCAGAGGCGCUCCACCCUAUAGCAGAGAGUCCAGCCCAGAAUGCAUGUAGUCAUAGCAUGCAGCACUUGCGUCCCCCAUUCACACAACUUCCAUGGCUUUAAAAUAUAAUGUUGCAUGCCUGUACGUGAACGACAAAUUAUGCGAUUUGUCUUUCUGGUAUUGAACCAGGUGAUCCGGUAGUAUAUCCCUCGCAUCUCUUGUCCACCUUUUCAGGAUAUGGUACUUAGGGAUUUCAUCAAGAGGUAGAAUCUCCAUCACCUACAUUUUUUUCAUAUUUAACAUAUGUUAGUGAGACAUGUCCUUUUUUCCUUUGAAAAACUGAAUUAUGUACAUCAAUACACUUAUGCAGCUUACCCUCAAAGCUGUGUGCUCAAAACUGACCACAUUCGCACGUGAAUAUUGAUUUGUCUUCGUUAACUGUCACCUCGUACUCCACUCUACUCCACUUCUCUCUCUUUGCUGCAUUAUUGUGAGUUGUGAUGUAUUUCCUCAUCCUUUCUACAUCAGUCACAUUGUAUGCAGUUCCAUCUAUUAGGAGGCGGCCAAAUUCCUCAAACAUAUUCCUUGUAUAUAUUUUGCUGGCAUGGCGCUCUAUCGCAAGGUUAGUCCGCCGCACAGCGCCUCCCCGACACAAUGAAAGUAUUAAAAUGAACGAGAUCAGUUCUUGAGCAGAAAUCAGUAAAAAACAGAAAUCUAUUUUCUUGAAUGGGAGCAACAUAUUUACAAUCAUUGUCCUCUUCUCCUCGUAGCUUUCAUCGCGCUCACGGUCAAACUGAAGCCCCAUGUAUUGCCAGACAAAAACAUGCAUCGGGCUUGCGGGGGGGCAUGUAUGACUUCAGCAUGUGGUUUGCACUCUCACUCCUCUGCGUACUUGUCAUUUUUGCACAAAACACACCUCUGAAAUAUGGUUUUGCCCAUUUAUGUCUUGUCUCAUAUAUUUGGGUCAUAUAGUUAUGCCCCCUCAAGUUGUACUUAUCAAGCAGCGCGUCCCAGGCUGUUUCAAAUUCCUCCUCAGUUAACAUGUGGUUAACAACUUUGUGAAAUUCAGCUUGGAAAUCACACUUUUUCGUGUAAAGCGGCCCCAGUGUUUCCUUCACCUUCUUAAGAACAUGCCACUUGCACCAACGGUGGACAGUGUUUGGAUAAAUUUUCUUGAUCGCAACCUCCAUUACUCUGCAUUGGUCUGAGCAAACAAAAAACAGUUUCAGUCAGAACCAUAAUUCAAGACUUAUUUCCUUGCAUGUUUUUAUGUCAUAAUUCAUUACUGCGUCCAGUGCAAUUUGAAGGGAUCUACAAUAAAAUAUGUACAAGCAAGGGACAUUUUUCGUGUUCAAAUCACUCACCUGUUAGUAUUGUUUUUGGUGCAGGUCCGCCCAUCAUGCGAAUGAAUUCUGAAAACACCCAUUCGAAGCUCUCUUCCUGCUCGUCGCGCAUCAACACUCCUGCCACGAUGAUACUCUAGUAGUGAUUGUUAACUCCAACAAAUAGACCGAAUGGCAUGUCGUCCAGAUUUGUACUGUAUGUGGUGUCGAAUGUGACCACGUCGCCAAAGAACUUGUACUGCAUCCUGCUGCUCCCAUUAGCCCACAUGAAAUUCUUCACCUUGCUAUCUUUCUCGGCGAGCACCACAAAGGAGAAUCCAGGGUCACUCGACCGAAUGUCGGCAAACACCUGUAGUGCCUUCCGUACAUCAUCUUCAGCCUGCUCACGACUAAUCUUCCCACAAAUGUUCCUGAGUGUCCUUUUAGUGAAAGGCACCUUCUCAACCGAACCAAAGAAGCUCCCAAUUAUGCUGUAUACCUUGCCAAGGUUGACGUUGUUCUCCCUCAACUGCCUUAUUAAAUCUUUGGUAUAGACGUCUAUGUGUUUAUGAGAUGGCCAGUGCACUUUCUCUCCCAUUGUAAGCGACAUCGAAUGAUUGUGGCUCGCUCGGUGCUCUGUUAUGUACCAACUGUUGUCUGAUGCACGUAACAGUCUGAUCAAAGCCGGGCACUCGCAUCUGCACGACCUGCUGU